GUGUAUAUAUAUGUGUAUAUGUAUAUAACACAUACGCUGUCUCUUGCUGGUUCCCUCUCCCAAACAUUUCCAAUAUCUAUCUUAUUCUAGUUUUCCUUUCACUUGUGUCUUAAGAUGUCUGUGAAGGGCAACUAUUUUCGGUAGUUGUUGGCAUUAGUGAAAUUAUUUUAGUUUUUCAGACUUAUUAUUACUGGGGCAGUACUUUCUUCUCUCCACAAUUCUGUCGAGGGAUUUCUUGGGUAAUUCUCUAUAAUAAUCUGGAGAGUUUCUACAAGAACUCCCAUCCUUACCCUCCACCCCCCACUGUAUAUUUUGUAUGUGCAUGGCGGCACCACCGAAAUACCCAGUAUUUCAAUCCAAAGCAACAGGAAUUUCGUUGAACUUUCAUCUACUAACUUGGUGGUCUUAGACACUUUUCUCUUUCUCUCUCUCUCUCUUAGUUGUGGGUGUGUCUCUCAGUUUUUUGUUUUUUUUUUUAAAGAAUUUCUCUCCAGCUAUACUUUUAAUUUGGGACCAGUUCUCUCUCUCAUCCAGGAAAACUAACCACAUCCCUUGUCAGACGAAGCUGAUUCAGCUAAGACAACUGCCCCGUUCCACCUCCCUUGUUUUCCUCAAUUUUCCUUUUUCUCCCAAGAUUUUUCCAUUUCUCUAAAUAUUGGGCAUUUCAAUAUUUGGUUCCUUUAGCUUUCUCUCCUAUUUUCUUGCCUCUCUACAGCAUUUAAUGUAUCCCCAUUCCCUCUCUUUAGCCUCUAAUAUUCUCUCUCUCUGCUCCCCUUUCUCAGUGUGUAGUAUUCUCUCUCCCUCUCACACCUGUUCUUUUGCACGUGUGCUCAAUUCUCUCGUUAGCAUUUACUGUUCUUCAGUAGCAUGUGCUCUUCUCCCUCAAGUUGUGACCUUUUUUUUUAAGACAUUUUCAGUCUCCAAACUCCCCCACCCCACCCCAAUCUUCUCUCUUAUACAAUGGUCUCUCACUAGAAAGUAUGAUUGGAACAUCCUCCCAUAUUAUAUUGUUGCUAUUAGUAACCACAUUGUGGCUGUCUACGUCUAGUUAGUGAUGUAUCCCCAAACUUUAUCUGUGAACCUUCUUCCUCUCGUUUUCUUUCUUUUACACUAUUUUCUUUGAUCAGGAAUUUUUCUGCCGCUUUGUUUCUGUUUUAUAAAAAAAAAACAAAGCGAAACCCCACCCCCCAAAUUUCUUCCAGCUAUUUUCCAAUAUUGAAAUAUGUUGUGAAGAUACAUAUGUAUAUAUGUAUAUCUAUAUAUGUAUAUAUACACGUACAUAUAUCUGUGUAUAUAUAUUUGUGUAUGUAUUUGUAUAUAUAUGUAUAUGUGCAUAUAUGAUGGUAUAUCUGUGCACGUAUGUGAAUUGAUACGCUUGCAAGCGUGUUUUGUGUUUGUAUUUAUGCCUCUGUAUCCGUGUUUGUAUGAAUGCAUUUAAAAGUAUAUGCAAUUGUUUACGUAUGUGUAUAUAUGCGUUUAAAAGUGUGAAUGAAUUUAAGUGCAUACGUUUAUAUUUGUAGCUAUUUAUGUAUAUACUAGUGUAUGUGCGAGUGUAUAUACUUGUGAACAAGUAUGUGUGUGUUUGUGUAUACUCAUACAUGUAUUUGUGUACAUACAUAUACCUGCACACACAGACAUGUAUAUAUGUAUAUAGACAUAUGUACAUAUAUAGUUGUAUAGUUAAAUAUACACAUUUGUAUACAUGUAGGCGCAUGUAUGUGGAUGUGUAUGUAUGUAGACAUGUAUAUAUUGUGUAUGUCUGGACUUGUAUGUGUUUGUAGUGUGUAUGACAGCAUCUAUAUAUAGAUGUGUGUAUAUGGGCAUGUAUGUAUAUAUGUAUAAACAUGUAUAUAGGUGUAUGUGCAUAUAUGUAUAUAGGCAUACAGGUGUGUAUAUGUAUAUAGGCAUAUGCAUAUAUAUAUAUAGGCAUGUGUGUAUAUAUACAUAUAUGUAUAUAAGCAUAUGUAUAUAAGUAUGUAUAUAGGUAUGUAUAUAGGGAUAUAUGUAAAAUAUUUGUAUGUAUGUAGGCAUAUGUAUGUGUAUAUAUGUUAGUAUGUGUUUGUCUAUACAUAUAUAUGUAUGUAUCUCGCUCUUCUUGUAUAAGAAUUUAUUAGGAACUGGUUUUCAUUCUGUCCAAAGUCAAAUAACAUUUGUAACUAUUUCCCCCCCUCUUCAGUUUUAAUGAAAUGUUUCUUUAGCUUCAAAACAAUUCCCUGAUCUAAAUAAAAAUUCCACUCAUUUUUAUUCCUCACGCCACACUAAUUUCCCCCUUCCCCUGCUUUCUCUCUCGCAUGUGGGGAGAGAAACGGUUUAACAUGGAUUUUAUUUUAAACAUUUUGUACAAUAUGUAAUGGAUUCUAGCCUUUUUGUAUAUUUGCCCCCUUUUCCCCAUUGUAUAUUUAUCAAGGUUUUUUUUUCUUAAAAAAAAAAAGAAAACAAAAAACAAUAACAAACAAGCAAAAAAACUAUUUAUCAAUCAUCAUUUUCUAAUUGUACAAAGAAUGUAUCCAUAGCUCUCACUGUGUUUGGAUUAAUUCUUAGCAAGUCCUGCCAUGGUCACGGCUUGCUGUCCACUUUGCUUCCUUUAGGCUCUUCUCUCUGUUGUUUUGGCCAAAAAUCAAGGGUCUAGAAUUUUUUUCUUAAUUUUUUAACUUUUUUUUUUUUUUUUGUAGUUACCUGUAAAUGAGUUGUGAAGUACAGCUUUUUUGUUAAUUGUACAUGUUGUAUUAUACAAGAUUUGUGUAUUAUUGUAAUGUUUGUAGCUAUAUAUAAA
rnacentral:lncRNA from 1 species